CCUACGGGAGGCAGCAGUCGAGAAUCAUUCACAAUGGGGGAAACCCUGAUGGUGCGACGCCGCGUGGGGGAAUGAAGGUCUUCGGAUUGUAAACCCCUGUCAUGUGGGAGCAAAUUAAAAAGAUAGUACCACAAGAGGAAGAGACGGCUAACUCUGUGCCAGCAGCCGCGGUACUACAGAGGUCUCAAGCGUUGUUCGGAAUCACUGGGCGUAAAGCGUGCGUAGGCUGUUUCGUAAGUCGUGUGUGAAAGGCGCGGGCUCAACCCGCGGACGGCACAUGAUACUGCGAGACUAGAGUAAUGGAGGGGGAACCGGAAUUCUCGGUGUAGUAGGGAAAUGCGUAGAUAUCGAGAGGAACACUCGUGGCGAAGGCGGGUUCCUGGACAUUAACUGACGCUGAGGCACGAAGGCCAGGGGAGCGAAAGGGAUUAGAUACCCGUGUAGUC
rnacentral:rRNA from 1 species